UUUUUCUUUUGCUUCUUUAUCGUUUAUACUUUUGACGUUAAGAGAUAAGGAGUCCUUACAGUUUUGUCUCAUAAAAAAGGAAAUCACUUCAUUCCAUUCUUUCCGUUUAGCCCAGUAUACAAAGAGACUACUAACCAUUUUAAAUUUUGCCUGAUAUGUACAUAUUUAGUGACAUACUCGGACAAAUUUCGCGUCGGUUGACAAUGGCUUUCUCGGGGGCGUCAAUUUCAAUAUUACCCUCCCAAAAAAUUACUGUUAACUAGUUAUAAUGUUAUAGGCACUUUUUUCAUGAAAAUUUUUAUACAGGG
rnacentral:misc_RNA from 1 species